rnacentral:rRNA from 1 species
GGCGGAGUAAUACAUAAGCAACGUGCCCCGAAGACCGGGAUAGUCAGUGGAAACGCUGGGUAAUACCGGAUGUGGCGGACUCUUGGCAUCUAGAGUCCAUUAAAUGGUUUUUCGCUUCGGGAGCGGCUUAUGGCCUAUCAGGUAGUUGGCGGGGUAAUGGCCCACCAAGCCGACGACGGGUAGCGGGUCUGAGAGGAUGAUCCGCUCGAGUGGGACUGAGACACGGCCCACACACCUACGGGUGGCAGCAGUUGGGAAUCUUGCACAAUGGGAGAAACCCUGAUGCAGCGACGCCGCGUGGAGGAUGACGGGUCUAGGCCUGUAAACUCCUUUUAUCGGGAAAGACUUAGGACGGUACCCGAUGAAUAAGGACCGGCUAACUACGUGCCAGCAGCCGCGGUAAGACGUAGGGCCCAAGCGUUAUCCGGAUUUACUGGGCGUAAAGAGCGCGUAGGCGGUCCGUUAAGUGAGAAGUGAAAUCUUCAGGGCUCAACCCGAAAAUGGCUUUUCAUACUGGCGGACUUGAGGGAUGCAGAGGUAUGUGGAAUUCCUGGUGUAGCGGUGAAAUGCGUUGAUAUCAGGAGGAACACCCAUGGCGAAGGCAGCAUACUGGGCAUCAUCUGACGCUGAGGCGCGAAAGCGUGGGUAGCAAACAGGAUUAGAUACCCUGGUAGUCCACGCCCUAAACGAUGGAUACUAGGCGUAAGAGGUAUCGACCCCUCUUGUGCCGCAGCUAACGCAUUAAGUAUCCCGCCUGGGG